CCUACGGGCGGCAGCAGUGAGGAAUAUUGGUCAAUGGCCGUAAGGCUGAACCAGCCAAGUCGCGUGAAGGAAGAAGGAUCUAUGGUUUGUAAACUUCUUUUAUAGGGGAAUAAAGGUAUCCACGUGUGGAUAUUUGCAUGUACCCUAUGAAUAAGCAUCGGCUAACUCCGUGCCAGCUGCCGCGGUAAUACGGAGGAUGCGAGCGUUAUCCGGAUUUAUUGGGUUUAAAGGGUGCGUAGGUUGUUUUUUAAGUCAGCGGUGAAAGUUUGUGGCUCAACCAUAAAAGUGCCGUUGAAACUGGAAGACUUGAGUGUGUUUGAGGUAGGCGGAAUGCGUGGUGUAGCGGUGAAAUGCAUAGAUAUCACGAAGAACUCCGAUUGCGAAGGCAGCUUACUAAGCCAUAACUGACACUGAAGCACGAAAGCGUGGGGAGCAAACAGGAUUAGAUACCCGAGUAGUC
rnacentral:rRNA from 1 species